rnacentral:rRNA from 1 species
GACGAACGCUGGCGGCGUGCUUAACACAUGCAAGUCGGGCGGUAAGGCCCUUUCGGGGGUACACGAGCGGCGAACGGGUGAGUAACACGUGGGUGACCUGCCCUCAGCUCUGGGAUAAGCCUGGGAAACUGGGUCUAAUACUGGAUAUGACUCCACGGUGCAUGUCGUGGGGUGGAAAGCCUUGUGCGGCUGAGGAUGGGCCCGCGGCCUAUCAGCUUGUUGGUGGGGUGANGGCCCUACCAAGGCGACGACGGGUAGCCGGCCUGAGAGGGCGACCGGCCACACUGGGACUGAGACACGGCCCAGACUCCUACGGGAGGCAGCAGUGGGGAAUCUUGCGCAAUGGGCGAAAGCCUGACGCAGCGACGCCGCGUGAGGGAUGACGGCCUGG